AUAGUACUCCCUCCAUUCCGAAUUACUUGUCUUGAAUUUGUCUAGAUACAUAUGUAUCUAGACUCAUUUUAGUGCUAGAUACAUCCUUAUCUAGACAAAUCUAAGACAAGUAAUUUGGAACGGAGGGAGUAGUAC
rfam:Triticum aestivum genome assembly, contig: Triticum_aestivum_CS42_TGACv1_scaffold_229994_3B